AACGAACGCUGGCGGCAUGCCUAACACAUGCAAGUCGAACGAGACCUUCGGGUCUAGUGGCGCACGGGUGCGUAACGCGUGGGAACCUGCCCUUAGGUUCGGAAUAACUCCCCGAAAGGGGUGCUAAUACCGGAUAAUGUCUUCGGACCAAAGAUUUUUCGCCUUUGGAUGGGCCCGCGUUGGAUUAGCUUGUUGGUAGGGUAAAAGCCUACCAAGGCGACGAUCCAUAGCUGGUCUGAGAGGAGGAUCAGCCACACUGGGACUGAGACACGGCCCAGACUCCUACGGGGGGGAGCAGUGGGGAAUAUUGGACAAUGGGCGAAAGCCUGAUCCAGCAAUGCCGCGUGAGUGAUGAAGGCCUUAGGGUUGUAAAGCUCUUUUACCCGGGAUGAUAAUGACAGUACCGGGAGAAUAAGCUCCGGCUAACUCCGUG
rnacentral:rRNA from 1 species